GAUGAACGCUGGCGGCGUGCCUAAUACAUGCAAGUCGAGCGAACGGACGAGAAGCUUGCUUCUCUGAUGUUAGCGGCGGACGGGUGAGUAACACGUGGAUAACCUACCUAUAAGACUGGGAUAACUUCGGGAAACCGGAGCUAAUACCGGAUGAUAUUUUGAACCGCAUGGUUCAAAAGUGAAAGACGGUCUUGCUGUCACUUAUAGAUGGAUCCGCGCUGCAUUAGCUAGUUGGUAAGGUAACGGCUUACCAAGGCAACGAUGCAUAGCCGACCUGAUAGGGUGAUCGGCCACACUGGAAGUGAGACACGGUCCAGACUCCUACGGGAGGCAGCAGUAGGGAAUCGUCCGCAAUGGGCGGAAGCCUGGCGGAGCAACGCCGCGUGAGUGAUGAAGGUCUUCGGAUCGUAAAACUCUGUUAUUAGGGAAGAACAUAUGUGUAAGUAACUGUGCACAUCUUGACGGUACCUAAUCAGAAAGCCACGGCUAACUACGUG
rnacentral:rRNA from 1 species